rnacentral:rRNA from 1 species
GCAAGGAAUCUUCCGCAAUGGGCGAAAGCCUGACGGAGCAACGCCGCGUGCGGGAUGACGCCUUUCGGGGUGUAAACCGCUUUUCUUCGGGAAGAACGUGGGGGUGACCUCACUUGACGGUACCGGAGGAAGAAGGACCGGCUAACUACGUGCCAGCAGCCGCGGUAAUACGUAGGGUCCGAGCGUUGUCCGGAGUUACUGGGCGUAAAGCGCGCGCAGGCGGCGGUGUAAGCAUGGCGUGAAAGCCCCAGGCUCAACCUGGGAGGGUCGUCGUGGACUGCACCGCUUGAGGGCGGUAGGGGCUGGUGGAAUGCCUGGUGUAGUGGUGAAAUGCGUAGAGAUCAGGCGGAACACCCGUGGCGAAGGCGGCCAGCUGGGCCGUCCCUGACGCUGAGGCGCGAAGGCGUGGGGAGCGAACGGGAUUAGAAACCCCGGUAGUCC